rnacentral:rRNA from 1 species
AUUGAACGCUGGCGGCAGGCCUAACACAUGCAAGUCGAGCGGAGCGGCGGACGGGUGCGUAAUGCCUAGGAAUCUGCCUGGUAGUGGGGGAUAACGUACGGAAACGGGAGCUAAUACCGCAUACUAUCAGAUGAGCCUAGGUCGGAUUAGCGAGGUGGGGGGUUAAAGGCCUACCAAGGCGACGAUGCGUAACUGGUCGGAGAGGAUGAUCAGUCACACGGGAAAUGAGAACCGGUCCAGACUCCUACGGGAGGCAGAAGUGGGGAAUAUUGGACAAUGGGCGAAAGCCUGAGCCAGACAUGCCGCGUGUGUGAAGAAGGUCUCCGGAUGGUAAAGCACUUUAAGUUGGGAGGCGUUACCAACAGAAUAAGCACCGGCUAACUUCGUGCCAGCAGCCGCGGUAAUAC